UACCUUGUGGCAAUGGUAGUGCAUCUGACUUUAGAUCAGAAGGCUGCCUGUUCAAAUCAUGUCAGGGUCA
rnacentral:tRNA from 1 species